GACGAACGCUGGCGGCGUGCCUAAUACAUGCAAGUAGAACGCUGAAGGAGGAGCUUGCUUCUCUGGAUGAGUUGCGAACGGGUGAGUAACGCGUAGGUAACCUGCCUGGUAGCGGGGGAUAACUAUUGGAAACGAUAGCUAAUACCGCAUAAGAGUAGAUGUUGCAUGACAUUUGCUUAAAAGGUGCAAUUGCAUCACUACCAGAUGGACCUGCGUUGUAUUAGCUAGUUGGUGGGGUAACGGCUUACCAAGGCGACGAUACAUAGCCGACCUGAGAGGGUGAUCGGCCACACUGGGACUGAGACACGGCCCAGACUCCUACGGGAGGCAGCAGUAGGGAAUCUGCGGCAAUGGACGGAAGUCUGACCGAGCAACGCCGCGUGAGUGAAGAAGGUUUUCGGAUCGUAAAGCUCUGUUGUAAGAGAAGAACGAGUGUGAGAGUGGAAAGUUCACACUGUGACGGUAGCUGACCAGAAAGGGACGGCUAACUACGUG
rnacentral:rRNA from 1 species